UGUAUUAAAAAAUAAUUAUAAUAGCUAACAUCUGUGAACACUAACAUUGAGGCAGGCAUUAUUUUAAAUGUUUUACAUAUAUCAGUUCCUAUAAUUAUUAAGAUAGUUAUGAGAUAGCAUCUUUUUUCAUCUCCAUUUUACUGAUAAAGGCACACAAAGUUAUGUAAAUUUCCCCAUGGUUAUGCAGUUGGUGAGUAAAGAUGAGAUAUGAACCCAGGCAGACAUACUUCAAAAACUUAUGAAUUGGGCCGGCGAUUUAGCUCAGUGGUUCCUCCGCCUGCCUUGCAAGCGCAAGGACCUGAGUUUGAUCCCCGGUACCAAAAAAAAAACCAACUUAUGAAUUAUUACUGUAUAUUUGUUGAAUGAAUGGAGUGUUUCAUUUUUAAUAUAUACUUGUUGGAUGGAGUAUUUCAUUUUUAAUAUAUGGUGUACAGGAUUGUUAUCUGUACUUUGGAUAAAAGACUGAGGAUAUUUAAUUGUGGUAAGAAUUUUUAACAACCAGGGACAAAUAACUUUCAUAGCAAACUAAAUAUUAUGAGUAGCUUUCACAAUUAACAGCAAACAUUCAAAUUCCAUACCUAUACUUUGAAGGAUUUUUAAAAAGCCUUCUGGUUUUGAAAGAAAAUUAGUAAUGUGCAUAAUACUGAUAGAUGGAUUUUGGUUCAUAUAACGUGUCUUAAUUAGUAUGUGUUUCUUACUCAUUUUUAGCUGAGUGGUGAUUUUAUGCAAUGGCUUCAAGCCACAGUUCUUCACCAGUGCCUCAAAGAAGCAGCAGUGAUGUGUUCUUUAAAAAGGAGGUAGAGUCAGCAAAACACAUUCGACCUGUGCAGUCACUGCCAGAUGUGUGUCCCAAGGAACCCACAGGUGAUUCAAGUAGUUUAUGUGUUGCCCCAUCUCUAGUUACAGAUCAACAUAGAUGGACUAUAUAUCAUUCCAAAGUAAAUCUCCCAGCAGCAUUAAAUGAUCCUAGAUUAGCAAAAAGAGAAUCGGACUUCUUCACAAAAACAUGGGGAUUGGACUUUGUAGAUACAGAAGUCAUACCUUCAUACUACCUCCCACAGAUCAGCAAGGAACAUUUUACAGCAUAUCAACAGGAAAUCUCUCAGGUAAUACUGAAUGUUGAAAUUUGUUAAGUCAGGUGAAUAGUAAUAUAAAUAUUUUUAGUUUGAUUGGGUGUAGACUUUUGAUGAA
rnacentral:lncRNA from 1 species